rnacentral:rRNA from 1 species
AUUGAACGCUGGCGGCAGGCUUAACACAUGCAAGUCGAGCGAGCGGCGGACGGGUGAGUAAUGUCUGGGAAACUGCCUGAUGGAGGGGGAUAACUACUGGAAACGGUAGCUAAUACCGCAUACCAUCAGAUGUGCCCAGAUGGGAUUAGCUAGUAGGGGGGGUAAUGGCUCACCUAGGCGACGAUCCCUAGCUGGUCUGAGAGGAGGACCACCCCCCCUGGAACUGAGACACGGUCCAGACUCCUCCUACAAUCACCAUUUUAAAAUAUUCAACAAUGUUCGCAAGCCUGAUUCAGCCAUGCCGCGUGUGUGAAGAACCCCUUCGGGUUUUAAUGCACUUUCAGCGAGGAGGCGUUACUCGCAGAAGAAGCACCGGCUAACUCCGUGCCAGCAGCCGCGGUAAUUC